GACGAACGCUGGCGGCGUGCUUAACACAUGCAAGUCGAACGGAAAGGCCCUGCUUUUGUGGGGUGCUCGAGUGGCGAACGGGUGAGUAACACGUGUGUAACCUGCCCUUGACUUUGGGAUAACUUCAGGAAACUGGGGCUAAUACCGGAUAGGAGCUCCUGCUGCAUGGUGGGGGUUGGAACGUUUCGGCGGUUGGGGAUGGACUCGCGGCUUAUCAGCUAGUUGGUGGGGUAGUGGCUUACCAAGGCUUUGACGGGUCGCCGGCCUGAGAGGGUGACCGGCCACAUUGGGACUGAGAUACGGACCAGACUCCUACGGGAGGCAGCAGUGGGGAAUAUUGCACAAUGGGCGGAAGCCUGAUGCAGCAACGCCGCGUGCGGGAUGACGGCCUUCGGGUUGUAAACCGCUUUCGCCUGUGACGAAGCGUGAGUGACGGUAAUGGGUAAAGAAGCACCGGCUAACUACGUG
rnacentral:rRNA from 1 species